UUGAAGCUUGAAUUUCACCUAUAUUUAUUUGUUAAACUCAUCCUUAAUGAUAUUUAUUUAGUAGUUGAGCCUAGGGGUGGCAACGGGUGACCCUGCCUGAUCAGCCUGGCCCUAAAAAACUAAGGCAUGGGUUAAGAAACGUGGCCCGAUCAGCGUGGCCCGAGAAACAUUGGGGAUUUCAAGCUUGGAAGUAGUUCACGAGCUCAAUGGGUUUUAGGUAUAGUCAGCCUACUACUAAAGAGACUGAAUACAUAUUCACACAUUGAUUAGCUCAAUGAAUUGUGCUAUCAAUUCAUUGAGUAACAAGGUGCGAUGAAAAGGGAGAAGAACGUCGUCUUUCAUUAAGGUAUUAGUUCUAUUUUGAGAAUUGUAUGGCCCAUUUUUUGACCAUGUAUUUGUUAUGUGUGAAGGCAAAUCACACAUGUAAGUUUUGGGCUUUAUAUUCUAAACCAUUGAAUUAGCUUCUAAUCCAAAGAUUGUGAGGCUGUAGGAACUUUCAUCUUUAAAGGGACUUUUGCUUCUUGUUUUAGAGAGAGAGAGAGAGAAAAGAAAGAGAGAAGGAAAAAAAGGAGAGCACAUGUAGGGUUUACUGUUGGCCGUGGUUUUUCCCCACUUUGUAGCGAGAGAAAGUGGAGAUUUUUGGGCAACCACUUGGGUGUUUUGGGGACCUUGUUGUAGGCCCUAUUUUAGAGAGAGAAAGUACACUUUUGUAUUGUAUUUGGACCCUAUUUUGGGCCCUGUUUAGAGAGAAAUAAAGUUGCUGAAAAUUGG
rnacentral:lncRNA from 1 species